rnacentral:pre_miRNA from 14 species
AAUAAAAGUACUUGUUACUCUCAUAACUUUCAUGUGAAAGACCCCCGGAGUGGGGAGACCAUCACUCAAGUCUCGGGAUGACGUGACCCCCCAAGAACUCACACAAGACC